rnacentral:lncRNA from 1 species
CUUUCCCAUUAAGUGAAGCAGAAGCAUAACAUACAUAACCCUGAUGUGAUCAAUUCAUAAUUAGCACGAAGAAAACUUGACUUCGCAAUAAUUAAGAGCAAUAAUAACUGUAUGGUCUGGUAAAUCACUGUUUAAAAAAGUUAAAAAGUGCUUUUGGACUUUUGAAAAUGGGAGGAGGAGAAAAGAUGGUAAAUAAUAAUCAUGGUGUAGCUGGCAUUGAAUGAUGAGUCAUGGGGGUCAGCGGGGCAUUGAAACAAGCAACGAGGAGGCGAGACGACUUAACAGUCUGACUCUGCAGAAAAGCUUUUUCCAAUUUUUCUUGGAUUUUAAUUGGAUUCUGUGGAUAUUAUUGACCUAUUUGUAAAUUUUGCUUUCUGUUUUGGUCUCUGAGAUUUCUUGGUUGUUUGCGUGAGGGUAUUGCACUUUGACAAAGUUGGCAGUGAAAGUUUCCUUCAGCUUUCUGCUCUCUCAUUUUAAGGUCUAUCUCCUUUUGGCUUGGCUUGGGUUGGUUUCGUCGUAAUUUCUUUACUUCACUCUUCUUCUUCUUAUUCAUCUUCUUCUCCCCUAUGUGGUGGGUUGCUUUGCUUUGCUGUGAUGGUUUUGUUUUGUGUGCUUUUUGACAUUUGUAGUUUCGUGCUUCAUUGGAAGUCUUCCCUUUUUCCUUUCUCACCCACCUCCUCAUUGGAGCUAUUCCUCUCCUCAAUUUUAUUUUUUGUUUUUUUAUAUCAAGUAUGAAAUUGUCAGGAACAAAACCGAAGACCGAUUGAAAUGUAAAACAGGAUAUAGUUCAGAGACUAUUGCUAUAAUUUAAUCUAUAUAUUAUUAGUUAGUGUCAUACACGUCAUGAUUCCUAUGAAACUUUGUUAUUGUUAAAAUUAUAAGCUCACAUGCUUUUAAUGUGUAACAUAUUUUGUGAGCAAAUUUACUGAACAAAUUGGAUGAAGGUAGCACCAAUAUUGUAUCAUAGUGAUGACUUUUCUAUUUUGUAUGAUUACAAAAACAAUUACUCAGUAUAUGAUGAUGACCAUGAUCAUUAUUACUUAAAGUGAGAAUUUGCCUCAUAGUAAAUCUGCU